CACAUAUACAUACACACACACACAGAUGCAUACACAUACACACAGACACAUAUACAUACACACACAGACACACACAGACACAUACACACACACACAGACACAUAUACAUACACACAUACACACAGACACAUAUACAUACACAGACACACACAUACACACACACAGAGACACACACAUACACAUACACACAGACACAUGCAUACACACACACAGACACAUAUACAUACACGCAGACACACAGACACAUAGACACAAAUACACACAGACACAGACACACACAUUUACACAUACACACAGACACAUACAUACAAACACACACGCAUAUACACAUGCACACACUCAUGCACAUACACACACACACACACAGACACACACACAGUUCUUGUAGAAAUGUUUUAACAGAAGCAUUGCAUACUGAGCCAGCCUGGCACAAUAAAGUAAAUAUCCACAUGGCAAGGGAACAUUUAUAGAACCAAGGAAGGGCACUGUCCUGAACCUUGCAGCACAGGAGACCUGCUCCAACGUGGCUUUCUAUCUCUCUGUGAAGAGAAACCCUAGAAGCUUCUCUCCUAUAAAAAAGGGGAGGCACAUAGCUGGGAGUGGUGGUGCAUGCCUGUGGUCCCGGCUACUCAGGAGGCUGAGGUGGGAGGAUCAUUCGAACCUGAGAGGCAGAGGUUGCAGUGAGCCGAGAUCGUGCCACUGCACUCCAGCUUGGGCGACAGAGCAAGACUUCAUCUGAAAAUAAAAACUAAAAAAAAAAGGGGGUGGGGGGCAGGGCAUAGAAUGUAGGCCCACUGCAGUCUCACAGAAACACGGGUCAAUCCUGCACUCAGCCUCCUGCCAAGUCUUCAUACCACACUGCAAUCGCCUCAAGAGUAAGGGCUGUGUCUGUCCCAUUUAUUACUCUCCCCCGAGUACACCCGCGGAGCACUGGGAGCCCAGGAAAGGGAGCCACAGACGUGUUAAUUUAACUUAUCUGGACGAUUGUGCAAGUGGCACUGUCAGAGCUUGGGCUGCUGCUGGUCAGGAGCCUCACCAGACACCUGUGCUGGUCAGCAAGGCUGCCCAGUAAACUAUCCUGAUAUCCAACCUUCCGAUAAUGGCAGGAUGUUCAGGACUGUUUGUCCUGGCCCCCUGGUGUUGAGUAGGGUCAGAGGUCCCGUUCUGGCCCCUGAGUUGUGAGCAGAAGGGAUGAGUGUCACCUCUAGGCCAUGCUCUUGGCUCUGGUUUAAGAUCCUCCAGGACUCACUUCCCCUCUGCACGUCCACCAGCAGCAUCUGGGAGGGUUUUGACUUAGCCUGAGGCCCUGAGUCACUGUAAGAAGCAGAGGCUCUUGUCAUCAUGUCCUGUGAGCAAGACACAUUCUCAUGCUGUUUCCAGUGGCUUAGACUGUAGGUGGUUCUAGCAGCAUAACUGAACCUGUCUUAGCUGAUGACACCCCCAGAGCCAGGGACCAGGGCAGGACAGAGGGUCAGGAGCUCAGUCCUAGGGAUGAGUUGCUCCCCAGUCUCUCCUGCCAUCUGGCUCUGCCUCCGAGACUCCACCCUGGCCUCUCUUGGCUCCAUAAAUCUGCUCAUCUUUCAGCACAGAGCCCUUUAGAUCCCUUCAAGCACCGAUGUUCUGGAGAAUCACUGGUUAGGUCACUUCUAAACUGGAGUACAGUGGGGUCAAAACAGUCAGUCAUCACAGGGGCUUAAGUGGCGGUAGCUCCUGUUUGCUUCUGCCCGUCACAUUAACUCACGGCACUAAUCCCCCAUACCCGGUAUGAAUGAGAGGUCCCAGCAGCAGGUGAAGACGCUCACCUUUGUGAUUCCCUCUUCCCUCCUGAGUCUCCUUCCCUCCCCCCGGCCUUGUCCCAUCCUCCUCCAGUUAAACAAGGUUCUCAUUGUCCCUUCCCUUCCCCACUCUUAUACCUCCUCUUGGGCAAGCAUCUUCAACCUAGGGUAGCUGUCAGCAUACUCACUCCCUGCGGGAGAGCCAGAGGGUCCCAGCACAGGGCCUGGCCAGGUACUCAAACAAUGACUAGCAACAUAACCUCUCCAAGCCUCAUCCUCCUCCAUGGCAAAAAUCAGGUCCAUGAUGUUUAACCCACAUGGUCACUGUGGGCCAUGCUUGGUAAAGUACCAGGAACUUUGAGGAUGCUUUCUUGAUGUCCAACAAGGCUUUGCAGCUCUUGAAGGAAGCAAUGACUUUGUUCCCAUCAGUGAAGGUUCCAAGACACAGAUAGGUGCUGCCCCUCUGAUAGCCAUGAGCACCUCGGUCACACUUCAGAGACUCACCCUGCUGUAUGGACCUUGCUGCUGACUGGUUCCCAGGCCUGAGUGUGAAUCAUGCCCACUCAACUUACUAACGCCGUGCUCAGAGCACACUCAUCGGAAGCUAAUAACAAGAGGAGUUUCUCUUUUCCCCUUUGAAGAAAAUGUCAGGAAAUCCAUGGGCAGACACUCUGCUAAUGACUUGCCCCAAAUCAUUUCUCUUUAUCCGCUGGGAGAGACUUGCUAACUCUGUUUCUUCCUUAAACUUGUACCUAGGGCAAGGAAUGCCCCAAAAUGCCAAGACCCACUGUUGCAGGUGCUAAUUGAAACAAGUAAUGAGUUCCUCUUCCUAAAAAGUGUAAUAGGCUCCUCUGCGUUAUUCAGUAGCUUGAAUAUCCAGUGUUUCUUAUUCCUUUUAAUCACAAAUACCCUCCUUAGAGUAGAAGAAAUUGCAGCUCAUUAUCUUGCCUAAUUUGCAUGCUUGCCAAUUACAUACCUAGCAAUACAAAACACAAAAAUACAAAUGUUUAGCAGCAAACAAUGAUUUAAGCCUGGAAUAAGCAAUUCUCCCUGUUUUCAUCAUCAGUGUCAUACCCUUUUCUUGCUGCCAGACACAAACAGGAGACCAAAUCCACUUUAGACAACGGUCUUUGGGGGCCUCUGGGGGUCUUUUUGAUUCUGCAAAGCUUUGAGCCAAGGAGGAGGCAUUUAGAGAAAGACAAAAUCCACACAAUAAAAAUACUUGUUGGCUGUUAAUUGGAAAUUCAGAAUGCACGGCUGCAGGGCAUUUAUUCCUGCUGGCAGCCUCCCCGUCCCCAGCCCCUCAGUCCCGGAAAUUCUGGAAUCUGAGGGUGAGACGUUUUGCUGGCUUUGGCUGGGACAUUAAGCAGAGGAGUAAAGGGGUCACAGGGUGAUUGUCUCCGAGCAGAGAAGGAAAAGCCCCCACUGUAUUUCCACCCAUUGCACCCACCAAGUCCAGCAGGGGAAGCUCACGCUGGUUUCUCUCAGACCACCCCACACCCACAGAAAUCCCCAGGCUUCCCCUUCUACUUUUUAAACCUCAAUCCAUGGCCCAGCCCUGAAUUCGCGGCAACACAGCCAAUUCUCAUUCCCUUUUCUUUCCCCUCAAUCUGUUUCAACAAUCUCCAGCUGCAGAACAUUCCAGACCUCUGUGUUCUCCACACUGACUGCCCACUUAGGAGGAGCGUGAGAUGAAAUCCCCCAUCACCAAGGCUGCUGGCACCGUCUCAUUGCCUGUCUCAGCUGAGCCUUCAGUCUUGCUUGACUAACUUUUUUUUUUCUUAUUCGUCUUCAUUUCUCUUUUCAUUCUCUACCGCAAACAUUCCAAAUAGUCAUCAGGUAAAGCGCUAAACAGGUGCAUUAGUCUCCCAGGGCUGCCUUAACCAAUGACCACUAACCAGGUGGCUUCAAACAGCAGGGAUUUAUUCUCUUGCUAGUCCUGAAAGCUAGGAGUCCAAAAUCAAGGUGUCAGCAGGUGGUUCCUUCUGGAGGCUCUGAGGAAGAAUCUGCUCCAUGCCUCUCUCCUAGCUUCUGGGUUUUCCAGCAACCCUUAGUGCUCUUAGCCUUGUAGAUGCCUCACUCCAAUUCCUGCCUCUGUGUUCAUGGGACCCUCUUUCCUUUGCCUCCUCUGUGUGUGCCCAAAUUUCCCUCUUCUUAUAAUGUCACCAGUCACUGGGGUAGGGUUUUCACUAAUACAGUACAACCUCAUCCAGUAAGACCUCAUCUUAAUGUGAUUACUUUUGGAAAGUCUCUAUUUCCAAAUAAGGUUACAUUCACAGGGACCAGGGGUUAUAACAUCUUUUUGGAGUAGACAAUUCUACCCAUUAUAAGGUGUCUGAUAUUUAGAAAGCACUUGAUAGACUUCAGCUUUCUUGUUAAGAAAUCAUUAUCUAGCCCCUAAACUCUCAUCAAAUAAUUUGCAUUUUCUUUCAUUAACUAGGUAUUUCCUCAGCUUUGUUCCAUUUCACCACAUCCUCAUAGUUUCCUCUCCUGUCUCGCAGGGACCUCCCUCUGUUUCCAAGGCUAGCCCUCCACUUUUGUUUCUCUCUUUUUUUUAUUUUUGAGAUGGAGUUUCGCUCUUGCUGCCCAGGCUGCAGGGCAAUGGCGUGAUCUCGGCUCACCGCAACCUCCGCCUCCCAGGUUCAAGCGAUUCUCCUGCUUCAGCCUCCCAAGUAGCUGGAAUUACAGGCAUGUGCCACCACGCUUGGCUAAUUUUGUAUUUUUAGUAGAGAUGGGGUU
rnacentral:lncRNA from 10 species